rnacentral:rRNA from 1 species
UAGCGGAGGAAAAGAAACUAACAAGGAUUCCCCUAGUAGCGGCGAGCGAAGCGGGAAGAGCUCAAAUUUAUAAUCUGGCACUUUCAGUGUCCGAGUUGUAAUCUCUAGAAGUGUUUUCCGCGUUGGACCGCACACAAGUCUGUUGGAAUACAGCGGCACAGUGGUGAGACCCCCGUUCAUGGUGCGGACGCCCAGCGCUUUGUGAUACACUUUCGAAGAGUCGAGUUGUUUGGGAAUGCAGCUCAAAUUGGGUGGUAAAUUCCAUCUAAAGCUAAAUAUUGGCGAGAGANCGAUAGCGAACAAGUACCGUGAGGGAAAGAUGAAAAGCACUUUGGAAAGAGAGUUAACAGUACGUGAAAUUGUUGGAAGGGAAACGCUUGAAGUCAGACUUGCUUGCCGGAGCUUGCUUCGGUUUGCAGGCCAGCAUCAGUUUUCCGGGGUGGAUAAUGGCGGAUUGAAGGUAGCAGCUUCAGCUGUGUUAUAGCUUUCCGCUGGAUACAUCCUGGGGGACUGAGGAACGCAGCGUGCUUUUAGCGGGGGUUUCGACCUCUUCACGCUU